rnacentral:lncRNA from 1 species
CAAAUUCAAAAAGUGCGAUCCAUGAACACUGACAUAUAAAGCAUUAUCAAUAACCAAACAAGUGAAAAACCAUUGCGAUAUUCCUGACUUGUUACAGACAUUUCCCCAAAGGAAUAAUGGUUAAUCCUGGAUUAUACCUAGCUUAACCUCCUACUUGUAUGACAGUUCCGUUAAAUUUACAAAAUUGGGAGAGCAACCUAUAACAACCAAAUUUAGUUAAAAUGACAUUAAUUGGGAUCCAGAAGCCAAAACUAUGUUAAUAUACAUCGCAAC